rfam:Ethanoligenens harbinense YTAN-3, complete genome.
CACCAUACAAUGCGUUUCUCAAAGACAGCAGGCGCCGCAAGGCUCAAAUCAUCGGCCUGCCGAGGGUAACGGUUUUGUAUGCAUUCGCGCAUCCGCGCGUUUUGCAUCGGACUUUUUGCCCCCGGCAUGCUGUGCCGGGGGUUUUCCAUUGCCACC